rnacentral:rRNA from 1 species
GACGUAGGGGGCCAGCGUUGUUCGGAAUUACUGGGUGUAAAGGGUUCGUAGGCGGUGUGGCAAGUCGGGAGUGAAAUCUCUGGGCUCAACCCAGAGUCUGCUUCCGAAACUGCUGUGCUUGAGUGUGGGAGAGGCGCGUGGAAUUGCAGGUGUAGCGGUGAAAUGCGUAGAUAUCUGCAGGAACACCCGUGGCGAAAGCGGCGCGCUGGGCCACACCUGACGCUGAGACGCGAAAGCUAGGGGAGCGAACAGG